rnacentral:tRNA from 1 species
AUCCAUGAUGGCCGAGAUACAAGGCAUCGAGCUUUUAACUCGACUACAGUUAAUCUAUACUUCAGGAUG